AUUGGAAUACCCAUUGGAAACAAUGGCUAAUGCCGGAUACGCAUGGAACCGCAUGGUUCCGUUGUGAAAGGCGCUGCAAGGCGCCACUAAAAGAUGAGGGUGCGGAACAUUAGUUAGUUGGUGAGGUAAUGGCCCACCAAGACUAUGANGUUUUAGCCGGGUCGAGAGACUGAACGGCCACAUUGGGACUGAGAUACGGCCCAAACUCCUACGGGAGGCAGCAGCG
rnacentral:rRNA from 1 species